rnacentral:rRNA from 1 species
UACGAAGGGGGCUAGCGUUGUUCGGAAUUACUGGGCGUAAAGCGCACGUAGGCGGACUAUUAAGUCAGGGGUGAAAUCCCGGGGCUCAACCCCGAAACUGCCUUUGAUACUGGUAGUCUCGAGUCCAGAAGAGGUGAGUGGAAUUCCGAGUGUAGAGGUGAAAUUCGUAGAUAUUCGGAGGAACACCAGUGGCGAAGGCGGCUCACUGGUCCGGUACUGACGCUGAGGUGCGAAAGCGUGGGGAGCAAACAGG